UGGCCUUCUUCUUCUCUGGCCUCUCAGCCGAGCCCCGUUUGUAGAUGUAGACUCCGAUCAAGCAGAGCAGACCGGGUAGCAGAGCCAAACACAUGAGCUCACCCUUCACAAACACCAACCAAGCUUUGCUCCAGGCCUGGAAAAAGAAGGCAGUCAAUAAGCAGAACUUACAAACCUGACAAGUAUAACAACCCAGCUUUACGCAAAUAAAAGUCUCUGCAGAAUGCUGUUAUUACUUGUUAAUUUACCAGGAAUAACUUGUCUUGCCCCCAGUUCAAGAGAAUGAGGAUCCCGGGACAGAGAUGUAUCGAUCACCUUUCCAUCCAUCAGUUUACCCUGUUCAGUACAGCAAUAGAGAAUGAGAACUAAGGACAUUUUACAUUUGGAGCCUAAAUAAUCUUAAAUGAAUGUAUUUUUGUACAGAGGACCAAAAAUAAAAAUGAAU